rnacentral:rRNA from 1 species
UUCUUCGGAGAGUUUGAUCCUGGCUCAGGAUGAACGCUGGCGGCGUGCCUAAUACAUGCAAGUCGAGCGAACUGAUUAGAAGCUUGCUUCUAUGACGUUAGCGGCGGACGGGUGAGUAACACGUGGGCAACCUGCCUGUAAGACUGGGAUAACUUCGGGAAACCGAAGCUAAUACCGGAUAGGAUCUUCUCCUUCAUGGGAGAUGAUUGAAAGAUGGUUUCGGCU